GGGGGAAGGGGGAAGGGGGUUGGCACGUGGCAGGUGGAUGUCUACGUGCAGUGUGCCUUGCCGAGUUCUAGCAAAGAUUUCUUGUGGCAGCGCAUCAAUCCGGACGACCAGCGCAGGAUAAUCCGUUCGACGGACAAUGAAGCUGACGGUGGCCCUCAUAGCCCUUGGCAUUGCUGGAAUUUUGCUACAUGAGUGUACAGCUAAACCAGUUGUUCAGCUCUCCGGAGCGGCGUCCGAGGAAGCUCAACGCACGUACGUACGUGCCGAAGAUGCCGAAGCCCGUUUAUCUGUGGUUUGCGUGAACAACCAGUGCAUCACCUCACAAACAUCUAUAUCUUGUGUGAACGACAAGUGCGUCACGUACAAGAAAUAAGCGCAAGUCUUAAAAAAUAUGUAUUCACGACUGCAACGCACCAAUGGCGACUGCCGUUUCCUUUCGCAAGAAGCAACUGAUUUGCUGUAGACCAGCUUCAAACGGCCAAGCGCGCAACGAAGUCUCUGACUGUACUCUACUGGUGAUGGUAAAA